rnacentral:rRNA from 1 species
GUCCACGCCGUAAACGAUGAUUACUCGAUGUCGGCGAUAAACUGUCGGCGUCUUAGCGAAAGCGUUAAGUAAUCCACCUGGGGAGUACGCCCGCAAGGGUGAAACUCAAAGGAUUGACGGGGCCCGCACAAGCGGUGGAGCAUGUGGUUUAAUUCGAUGAUACGCGAGGAACCUUACCUAGGCUAGAAUGCGCGUGACCGCCCCAGAGAUGGGGGCUUUCCUUCGGGGACACAAAGCAAGGUGCUGCAUGGCCGUCGU